rnacentral:rRNA from 1 species
UUAUAACUUUGAGCGGUGGAUCACUCGGCUCGUGCGUCGAUGAAGAGCGCAGCCAGCUGCGUGAAUUAAUGUGAAUUGCAGAACACA